AAAAUCACAGAAGAAGAAGAAGAAGAAGAAGAGAUGAUACGUCAAUAUCAACAUCGCGGAGAUAAGCGACGCGGGGGUUUUCAAAUGGACAGGAGAACACGCGUGUGUUUAUCCGGUGGAGAGAGGCUCAUGAUGCUGAAUGCUGUCAUCAAAGAAUGGGAACCGCUGUGUUGAGUCGGCAGUAGGGUUUGGGGUUCAGUGCCUGUAAAUACAUGCUUGUAGUUUGAAUAAAGCUGUUUCAUGUGUUGACUUGUA